rnacentral:tRNA from 1 species
UACUAAAUAGCUUAUUUAAGCGUAGGACUUUUAAUCCUAAGAUGGCUGCCGAUAUUAGAGCCUUUAGUAG